AUGAGAAGCUGGAGGAGGCGGAGGCUCCGCCCCGCGCCUUGUCCUAACGAUUCUGUCUUCUCUCUUUCUCUCACUGUCUCUCUCUAUGGUUGCCUACCUCCAGCCCACGUCCUCUGCCCCGCUUCCGGCCGCCGCGCCCUGCCUCCGAGAGCCCUUCUUCCUUCCCUUUCCUCUCGUUUCCAGUCCUCCUCGGGGCGUUCCCAUGGCUGCUGCCGUAGGCACUUGGGCUUUCUCGAUGCCGGCUGUGCGGAAGGUGGGCUCGCUGCUCAAGAACGGGGCUGGGGCUACGGACUCUCUGCAGGAGGCGACGAAAUCGAGAAUGGUGAGAAAACUGGUCAAUACAUAGUUGAACAAGGAGGCUACCCAAAUAAAGAUGGGCUCGUUCAAUGUGGUGCAGCUGUCAUGGAAGGUCUCCCCAGUCGAUUUGGAGCAAUGGCGGCCUUACAUGGGAAUAUUUGGGGAAAAAAGCAAGCUUCUCUGGGCACAAUACCUUAGGUAAUUAAUUCAUUUAUUGAGAGCAUUUUUAUAUUUUAAUGGUAAAAAGCAAUAAUAUAGUCAGUAAAUGUUACUUUAGGGGUGAAAAAGUUUCCCACAUUUCCCACAUUAUGUAACUUCAUUCUGAGCAGUAAUUUGCAAACCAAGAGAAUACAGCUAAGAGUUAUCAGUCUGAUAUAUGUCUUCCUAUAGUGUUAGACACACUAGAAAAUUAUGAUAUGACAAAUCUUCACCAAACUUUGUCUAGUUUCUUUAAUUUUUAUAGUCAGUCAGCAAUUUUGUCUGGUUUCCUUGAUGUCUGUAGUCAAUCAUCCUUAAUUAAGGUUUUGGAGAGGGUGAGACACUUUCUAGGUUUUGUUUAAGACAUGGACCCAGUUGGUCUUCUUACAUUGACUCCUCUCUUGUGUUCUACAAUCUAGCAACACCUAGUUUUUUGUUUGUUUGUUUGUUUUGUUUUUAGCGCUAAGCACUGUCUCCCAACUAUGUUCGUUUGUACUAGCUGUCACUCAUGCUGGAAUGCUCUCUCUCCUAACCUCAGCCUCCUGGAUUCACUCAGACUCGUUCCAAAUCCCACUUUCUUCUGCAAGAGGCAUUUACCAGGACCUUCCACUUCUAGUACCGUCCUCUGGCUCUGGGAUCACUUCCCAUUUGUACUAUGUAUAUCUGUCUUCCUCAUUUGAAUAUGAGUUCCUUGAGGGCAGGAACCAUGCUUUUUAACUUUCUUGAAUUCCCCAGUGCUUUGCACAGUCCCUGGCACAUAGUAUAUGGUUAGUAAAUGUUUGUUGAUUGAUUUGAAUGGGAUGUCCCAGUGAAGACUUCUCAGUGUAAUUAAGGUAAUGAGUUCAGAAGGUAGUGUGAGAAAUGAACUCUCAGAAGUGAAGGCUCCUCAAAGGGUCAAAUAAUUCUUGAUUAUUACUUUCAAAAUCAUCCCCCACUUAGACCCUGUUUUUAAGCACUUAACCGAAAGAAUAAGCCCUGCCCCACCCCCAACCUGAGCUUCUGGCCUCUUUCCUUGUCUUUGAAUUUCGGGUCUGGAAUGUCAGCCUCACCUCCCAGUUAAGAGGAUAGGAAGAAACUUUCGAGCUUAGAAUGUGGUAAGGGAUAGUGGUGGGUGGAAACUUGUUUGCGUGGUGGGUGGAGGCUUGUUUGCGUGGUAGGCGGAGAUUUGCUUUCAUAAGGUGGCCCCUCUUUCUCUCUCUCUCUCUCUCUCUCUCUCUCUCUCUCUCUCUCUCUCUCUCUCUCUCUCUCUCGCUCUCUCCCUCUCCCUCUCCCCACGUAUCAUCGAAGGAACAGACAGCCAUCUCCCGAGACUGUAAUAAAGGUAACCUUUACUUUACA
rnacentral:lncRNA from 1 species